rnacentral:rRNA from 1 species
ACGAACGCUGGCGGCACGCUUAACACAUGCAAGUCGAACGAGAGAAGAGAAGCUUGCUUUUCUGAUCUAGUGGCGGACGGGUGAGUAACACGUGAGCAAUCUGCCUUUCAGAGGGGGAUACCGAUUGGAAACGAUCGUUAAUACCGCAUAAUAUAAUUGAACCGCAUGAUUUGAUUAUCAAAGAUUUAUCGCUGAAAGAUGAGCUCGCGUCUGAUUAGCUAGUUGGUAAGGUAACGGCUUACCAAGGCGACGAUCAGUAGCCGGACUGAGAGGUUGAUCGGCCACAUUGGGACUGAGACACGGCCCAGACUCCUACGGGAGGCAGCAGUGGGGAAUAUUGCACAAUGGAGGAAACUCUGAUGCAGCGAUGCCGCGUGAGGGAAGAAGGUUUUAGGAUUGUAAACCUCUGUCUUCAGGGACGAAAAAUGACGGUACCUGAGGAGGAAGCUCCGGCUAACUACGUGCCAGCAGCCGCGGUAAUACGUAGGGAGCGAGCGUUGUCCGGGAUUACUGGGUGUAAAGGGAGCGUAGGCGGGAUCGCAAGUCAGAUGUGAAAACUAUGGGCUUAACCCAUAAACUGCAUUUGAAACUGUGGUUCUUGAGUGAAGUAGAGGUAAGCGGAAUUCCUAGUGUAGCGGUGAAAUGCGUAGAUAUUAGGAGGAACAUCAGUGGCGAAGGCGGCUUACUGGGCUUUAACUGACGCUGAGGCUCGAAAGCGUGGGGAGCAAACAGGAUUAGAUACCCUGGUAGUCCACGCCGUAAACGAUGAUUACUAGGUGUGGGGGGACUGACCCCUUCCGUGCCGCAGCAAACGCAAUAAGUAAUCCACCUGGGGAGUACGACCGCAAGGUUGAAACUCAAAGGAAUUGACGGGGGCCCGCACAAGCGGAGGAACAUGUGGUUUAAUUCGAUGAUACGCGAGGAACCUUACCCGGGCUUAAAUUGCAGAUGAAUUACGGUGAAAGCCGUAAGCCGCAAGGCAUCUGUGAAGGUGCUGCAUGGUUGUCGUCAGCUCGUGUCGUGAGAUGUUGGGUUAAGUCCCGCAACGAGCGCAACCCUUACUGUUAGUUGCUACGCAAGAGCACUCUAGCAGGACUGCCGUUGACAAAACGGAGGAAGGUGGGGAUGACGUCAAAUCAUCAUGCCCCUUAUGACCUGGGCCUCACACGUACUACAAUGGCUGUCAACAGAGGGAAGCAAAGCCGCGAGGUGGAGCAAACCCCUAAAAGCAGUCUUAGUUCGGAUUGUAGGCUGCAACCCGCCUACAUGAAGUCGGAAUUGCUAGUAAUCGCAGAUCAGCAUGCUGCGGUGAAUACGUUCCCGGGCCUUGUACACACCGCCCGUCACGCCAUGGGAGUCGGUAACACCCGAAGCCUGUAGUCUAACCGCAAGGAGGACGCAGUCGAAGGUGGGAUUGAUGACUGGGGUG